rnacentral:lncRNA from 13 species
CGUCACUUCCGGAGGUGGCUGAGACCGGGCGGAUGUCCUGCCCCCUUCCCUUUGGCCAAGGGUUCGUGGCGGGGCUGAAGGAGUAGAAGUCUGGAAAAGGUCUCGUGAAAAGCUUUUGUUUUUGGCUGCUGUGGUUGUUGUUUUCAGAUUGUCCUCGUGCUUCACGUGUUUCUGGCUCCGGGCUCGGUGCAUUUGCUGAAGACGGGGCAAGUAUCCAGUAUGUCUUUGCCCCAUACUCCAGAAUGGGCGUCUCGUUUACCAGAGGGGACAGCGCCAGAAUCUGAGCAACCCACUGCACCGGCGAAAACAGCGGCAUUAAGAUUGAUGGUGCUUUUCUGCCUGGGAAUCUCUGGUCUGGCUUCCUUCUUGAGUCUGUCCUUCAAUCAGCUGAAUAGGCGACUCUGCCUUCCGGGAGCUCCAAAUGUCGACCAAAACGGGAUCCAGUCCAUUCUGCACCAAGAACCUCCACACCGGCCACAAGAGUCGCACUGGCGACCCAUGGGGCUCCUCUGCUGGGAAUCUCCUGGUCCGUGAGCAACAAAAAUUCGUCUGAAAGUGUGGCGUCCUCUUAUUCUCUGUGUUUUCACUGGGAGCUACAAUCCUGAACUGCUGGUGAUCAGCCAUCUUGGAUCUCUCUCUCAGCUUCACACAUACAUUCUCAAUUUUUAUAUUUUUAGUAGAGAUGGGGUUUCAUCAUGUUGGCCAGGCUGGUCUCCAACUCCUGACCUCAAGUGAUCCUCCUGCUUUGGUCUGCCAAAGUGUUGGGAUUACAGGCAAGUGAGAGCCAUCGGCCUGGCCAACACCUGUUUUAAAUACAGUCUUUACAAUAUCCUUUUGCAGUUGUCAGAAGUCAUGGUGCUGAAUGGUUCUUUGUUCAACAGUUCACUUAUUUCUGAACACACUGAGAAAAAAAAUCCUUUGGUUCUUUUAUCUCUUUCUGUCUAUAUAUUUUACAUCCCAAUAUUAGACACAUAAACCAGUCCAUUUUUCAUUUCAAAAAUGCUUUGACCUCCUCUCGGUUUCCCACUGGAGGGCAGCAGAGAACCAUCCAGGCCAUCCUUGAUUUGAACAAACUACUGUGACAAGUCAGACUUUAAAAUACUUAUUUCCCACUGAUGAAAAGUCAUCACCAGAGUAUCUUUUCAGGAAACCCAUUUUCUCCUAUAAAAGUGCUAUAAUUGAUCAUGAAAAUAAAUGAAGAAAAAUAAAAGGACUGGGAACA